rnacentral:rRNA from 1 species
GCCCAGACUCCUACGGGAGGCAGCAGUGGGGAAUAUUGGACAAUGGGGGGAACCCUGAUCCAGCGACGCCGCGUGAGUGAAGAAGUAUUUCGGUAUGUAAAGCUCUAUCAGCAGGGAAGAAAGAAAUGACGGUACCUGACUAAGAAGCCCCGGCUAACUACGUGCCAGCAGCCGCGGUAAUACGUAGGGGGCAAGCGUUAUCCGGAUUUACUGGGUGUAAAGGGGGCGCAGACGGCGAUGCAAGCCAGGAGUGAAAGCCCGGGGCCCAACCCCGGGACUGCUCUUGGAACUGCGUGGCUGGAGUGCAGGAGGGGCAGGCGGAAUUCCUGGUGUAGCGGUGAAAUGCGUAGAUAUUAGGAGGAACACCAGUGGCGAAGGCGGCCUGCUGGACUGCAACUGACGCUGAGGCUCGAAGGCGUGGGGAGCAAACAGGAUUAGAUACCCCGGUAAAC